GUCUUUCUUUCAGUCGCAUUUUCGAUAGCAGUACGUGCGGGUGCCUGUUUCGUGUGCGGAGUCCGGAAAUUCGCUAACCAAAAAUCUACAUUUAAAAGUUUAAAUUUAAGACAAUUCUAACGCUAAUAAAACGAAAAGGAAUAUAACAACAACAACAAAAACAACCCACUAAAAGUGGCUGCAACUUUCCAUCAUCUUUGUGGCAAUGAAGUGAACAUGGGAAUAGCCUCUGCCUCCGCUCCCGUUGCUCCUUCCUCAGCUGAUGUUGCCUUCGUCGCAGUCGUUUCAUUGCGAGACUUUUUCGCGUUUCGCCUGCGUCGCUAACAAGGUGGAGCUUGGCAAAAUAUUUCAACUAUGAAAGAGCAAAUAUUGAAGUGAAUAUUAUGAAGAAAGUAACUUGAGACAAAGUUUCUUUGCAGUUACUCGACUAACUAUGAGAGAGCAUAAGAAAAACACAAUAAAAAUAUAAGCCAAAUGA